GGUGAAAAGCACCCCGGAAGGGGAGUGAAAUAGAACCUGAAACCGUGUGCUUACAAGUAGUCAGAGCCCGUUAAUGGGUGAUGGCGUGCCUUUUGUAGAAUGAACCGGCGAGUUACGAUUUGAUGCAAGGUUAAGCAGUAAAUGUGGAGCCGUAGCGAAAGCGAGUCUGAAUAGGGCGUUUAGUAUUUGGUCGUAGACCCGAAACCAGGUGAUCUACCCUUGGUCAGGUUGAAGUUCAGGUAACACUGAAUGGAGGACCGAACCGACUUACGUUGAAAAGUGAGCGGAUGAACUGAGGGUAGCGGAGAAAUUCCAAUCGAACCUGGAGAUAGCUGGUUCUCUCCGAAAUAGCUUUAGGGCUAGCCUCAAGUGAUGAUUAUUGGAGGUAGAGCACUGUUUGGACGAGGGGCCCCUCUCGGGUUACCGAAUUCAGACAAACUCCGAAUGCCAAUUAAUUUAACUUGGGAGUCAGAACAUGGGUGAUAAGGUCCGUGUUCGAAAGGGAAACAGCCCAGACCACCAGCUAAGGUCCCAAAAUAUAUGUUAAGUGGAAAAGGAUGUGGCGUUGCCCAGACAACUAGGAUGUUGGCUUAGAAGCAGCCAUCAUUUAAAGAGUGCGUAAUAGCUCACUAGUCGAGUGACACUGCGCCGAAAAUGUACCGGGGCUAAACA
rnacentral:rRNA from 1 species